rnacentral:tRNA from 1 species
GCCUGGGUGGCUCAGUCAGUUAAGCAUCUGACUUCAGCUCAGGUCAUGAUCUCACGGUUCACGGGUUCAAACCCCGUGUUGGGCU